AUGUAAGUUUUUGCGUGAAUUUUUAUUUAUUUUAAAAAUAAUUAAUUUUUAUAAAAAUCUCAGUAAUUAAUUUUAUUAAUCAAAGAAAUUUGAAAGUAGUAAUUUUAAUAAGUAUUGGCUAAAUUUGUGCCAGCAGCCGCGGUUAUACAAAUAAUACAAAUGAAAUUAAUUUUAGUGUAAGUUAAAUUUUGUAAUUAUAAAAUAUAUUUAAAUUUAUUGGGUGGAAUUUUAAAUUUAUAAAUUUUUAAUAUAAUGAUGUUGAAGCUUAAAAAUUUUAUUAAUAAACUAGGAUUAGAUACCCUAUUAUUUAAAAUGUAAUAAUAAAUACUAAGGUAGUAAUAGUUAUGUUCUUGAAACUUAAAAAAUUUGGCGGUAUUUUAGUCUAUUCAGAGGAACCUGUCCUAUAAUCGAUAAUCCACGUUGUACCUCACUUAAAUUUGUUAUCAGUUUAUAUACCGUCGUUAUUAGAAUAUUUUAUUAGAAUAAUAAUUUUCUAUAAUUUUUAUAAAAAUUUAUAUCAGAUCAAGGUUUAGCUUAUGUUUAAGUAGAGAUGGGUUACAAUAAAUUUAUUUAAAUGAAUCUAAAUUUGAAAUUUUUAGUGAAAUUGGAUUUGAUAGUAAAAUUUUAAAGAUAAUAAAUUUGAUUUUAGCUCUAAAAUAUGUACACAUCGCCCGUCGCUCUUACUAUUAAGGUAAGAUAAGUCGUAACAUAGUAGAUGUA
rnacentral:rRNA from 1 species